rnacentral:misc_RNA from 1 species
CCCAUGCAGUCAAAAGGGCGCACUUACUCUCACUGCUCUCGCUCACACUCUAGUCCCUCUCACGCAGUCAUUGUAUGCACAGUGAAGCACUAGUCCCCAUAUGUGAAACCCAUCUGCACGCUGGAGCUUUGUUUCUCAUUUCAGGACCCUUCCUUCACUCUUUCUCUCUCUUCCUCUAUUUUUCUCUCUCUUUCUUUCCUUCUUGGUCUUUACCAUGGUGGUCUAUUCACGGGUCUUGUUGUUGGGUUUGCUUGCGUUUCUUGCAAUGCAGCUUCCUCUCAUAAUGGCAGAUUGCCCACUGGAUAUGAGUGGAUCAAACUUCACCCUUGCAGCUUCUUUAUGCUCCAAUAAAGAUGACAGAGGAAAGUGUUGCCGCUAUAUUAAUGCUUUUAUUGCGGUUUCUAUUGCUCGCUAUGCAAAUAGAACUAGUAACCUAGGGGUUGCCUCAAAUUUAUCUGAUAUCUGCCUCCAUUCCAUUUCACAAACAAUGGAGCUAUAUGGCGUUCCAAAAAAUGCAACAGUGUUUUGUGGGUUUGGGACAAAAAUUCCAGUUAAUUUUGAGUGCAAGGGUCGAACAACUGUCACUCAGAUUCUCCAGUCGCCAAAGUUUAAUGAUGUUAUGCAAAAUUGCAAAGUGCCCUUUUCAGCAGAAAGUAGUUGCAGGAAGUGUAUAAAUGCUGCAAUCGUAUACCUUCAUCUUCUGGUGGGAACAACUGAUAAUAUAACACUGAGUACUUGCCGUGAUGCAACUUAUGCCGCACUUGCAAGCCAGGUUGAUGAUGCUUCAGCUGUCAACAUUGCAGCCUGUUUCUUUGGAGUUCAAGGGCUUAACAUCCCUCCAGAGCCAUCAUCCCCAUCCACACCUACUCCUGGUCCUGGGGCUUCUCCAAGGCCAUUGGUUGCUGAUAGUCCAAGCCAAGUUGUGUUGGGAGUAACCUUAAAUGACAACCACCAUCCCUUCCACCUGACAUUAAUUCCAGGUGUGGGCAUUGCAGUUACAGUCAUUGCUGUUACAAUGCUGAUAGUCCUGAUGGUUCUUAUUCGUAGGAAACACAAAGAGCUAGAGCAAUCUGAGAAAAUAGGCAAGACCUCAAAAGCCUUCCCUCCUCCUCGGCCUUUGCGAAAAUUUCAAGAAGGUGUUGUUCUGGACUUUGUGGUUAGGUGCUUUCUUGAUGUUAACAUGUAUUAAGCUUGCUUUUAUUAUAUUUAUUUGCAUAUUACAUUUGUUUUUUUGGGUGGGGGCUGUCAUUUAGGAGUGGGACCUCAGUCAAUGUUCCGAAAAUUCAGCUACAAGGAAACAAAUAAGGCAACAGAUAGCUUCAACACAAUCAUUGGACAGGGGGGAUUUGGAACUGUAUAUAAAGCUCAAUUUAGUGAUGGCUUAGUGGCAGCAGUAAAGAGGAUGAAUAAGGUUUCAGAGCAGGGGGAAGAAGAUUUUUGCAGAGAAAUAGAACUUCUUGCUCGACUGCAUCACCGUCAUCUUGUUUCUUUAAGAGGCUUUUGCAUAAAAAAACAUGAGAGGUUUCUGAUAUACGAGUAUAUGAAAAAUGGAAGCUUAAAAGAUCAUCUUCAUUCCCCUGGAAGAACUCCUCUGAGUUGGCAGACAAGAAUUCAGAUUGCUAUUGAUGUGGCUAAUGCCCUUGAGUACCUCCACUUCUAUUGUGAUCCACCUCUGUGCCACAGAGACAUCAAGUCAAGCAACAUUUUACUGGAUGAAAACUUUGUUGCUAAGGUUGCAGAUUUCGGCCUCGCACAUGCAUCAAAAGAUGGUUCUAUUUCCUUUGAACCUGUGAAUACUGAUAUCCGCGGAACUCCUGGUUAUAUGGAUCCUGAGUAUGUGGUCACUCAAGAACUCACUGAGAAAAGUGAUAUAUAUAGUUAUGGUGUUGUACUGUUGGAGAUAGUAACUGCAAGGAGAGCAAUACAAGACAACAAGAAUUUAGUGGAAUGGUCUCAAAAAUUCAUGGCAUCAGAAAUAAGACUACCUGAGUUAGUGGAUCCACGUAUCCGGGAUUCCUUUGACUUGGACCAGCUUCAAACAAUUGUGACUAUUGUGAAAUGGUGCACACAGAGGGAAGGACAAGCUAGGCCUUCAAUCAAACAGGUUCUUAGGCUUUUAUAUGAGAGCUCAGACCCAAUGCAUAGUGGGUUUUUGCAAGCUGUGGAAGAUGAAGAGUAUGAAGGAAGUGAAGAAAGAGGAAGGAGAAGUAAAGGAAAAAUGCAUAGAAGUGAUGGGGUUUUUCAUAGUGGGGAUGGAAGAUAUCUUGCUUCAUCAAGUACAUCAAGGUCAUAUUGUAGCAGAAGCUUUUUACUUGAAACUGGCUCUCCACAAUCUCCCCCCAAUAUACUCUCUCUUUGAGGUUUUGUCAUUUUUCUGCUUCAAGCCUUUGAUCAUCAAUCAUGGUUUUACUGGAAAGCUGUAGCACCAUGUCAGAAUCAUCGUUGAGACAUUCUGUUGACAUGAUUUAUGACAAGAUGACAGGUGCGCACGAUUUGUCUUGUUUAUUGAUUGAAAACUUCACAGAGGAUGUCAAUGACAUUUGAGAUUAUGUCACUUGCUGGAUGGAGAAGGGAACUUGUAGAAGUAAAUUUUAGAUACAUUGUUUUGUUUUAUUUCGUCUUAACAAUUUUGGAAAAAUUAAGGCAUGAAUAUAAAAUUUUUCUCUUGCAUCAUGGAUUGAGAUCUCUCUCUCUCCUUAUUUUUGGUGAAUUGAGAUGCUUGAUAUUGCAAUCAUAUGGUCAUUUGGAUAUAUUAUGCAGAUUAUUGUAUAAAUAAUGUAACUGACAGAUGUUUUAAUACAAUACUUAGCAUUGUCCAUUUAAAAAG